rnacentral:rRNA from 1 species
GAUGAACGCUAGCUACAGGCUUAACACAUGCAAGUCGAGGGGCAGCACAGUGUAGCAAUACACGGGUGGCGACCGGCGCACGGGUGCGUAACGCGUAUCCAACCUUCCCGUUACUCUCGGAUAGCCUUCCGAAAGGGAGAUUAAUACGAGAUGGUGUUGAAAUUCCGCAUGUUAUUUCAACGAAAGAUUCAUAGGUAACGGAUGGGGAUGGGUGACAUUAGGUAGAUGGCGGGGUAACGGACCACCAUGCCCACGAUGUCUAGGGGUUCUGAGAGGAAGGUCCCCCACACUGGAACUGAGACACGGUCCAGACUCCUACGGGAGGCAGCAGUGAGGAAUAUUGGUCAAUGGCCGGAAGGCUGAACCAGCCAAGUAGCGUGAAGGAUGAAGGUUCUAUGGAUUGUAAACUUCUUUUAUACGGGAAUAAAACCACCUACGUGUAGGUGCUUGUAUGUACCGUAUGAAUAAGCAUCGGCUAACUCCGUGCCAGCCGCCGCCGUAAUAC